AACGAACGCUGGCGGCGUGGAUAAGACAUGUAAGUCGGACGAGAUUUUCCGUUGUAGCAAUACGAUGGAAAGUCUAGUGGCGAACGGGUGCUUAACACGUGGGCAACCUGCCAUGAAGUGGGGGAUAGCUCGCCGAAAGGCGAAUUAAUACCGCAUGUGAUUAGAGAGGACCUCCUUUCGAAAUUAAAGUCGGGGCAACCUGACGCUUCUUGUGGGGCCCGCGGCCUAUCAGCUAGUUGGUGAGGUAAUGGCUCACCAAGGCUUUGACGGGUAGCUGGUCUGAGAGGACGACCAGCCACACUGGGACUGAGACACGGCCCAGACACCUACGGGUGGCAGCAGUCGAGAAUUUUUGACAAUGGGGGAAACCCUGAUCGAGCGACGCCGCGUGGAGGAUGAAGGUCUUCGGAUUGUAAACUCCUGUCAUUGGGGAACAAGCUGCAUACGUUAACUGCGUGUGCAUUGAUAGUACCCGAAGAGGAAGAGACGGCUAACUCUGUGCCAGCCGCCGCAGUAAGAC
rnacentral:rRNA from 1 species